GAUGAACGCUGGCGGCGUGCCUAAUACAUGCAAGUCGAGCGAACAGACGAGGAGCUUGCUCCUCUGACGUUAGCGGCGGACGGGUGAGUAACACGUGGAUAACCUACCUAUAAGACUGGGAUAACUUCGGGAAACCGGAGCUAAUACCGGAUAAUAUAUUGAACCGCAUGGUUCAAUAGUGAAAGACGGUUUUGCUGUCACUUAUAGAUGGAUCCGCGCCGCAUUAGCUAGUUGGUAAGGUAACGGCUUACCAAGGCGACGAUGCGUAGCCGACCUGAGAGGGUGAUCGGCCACACUGGAACUGAGACACGGUCCAGACUCCUACGGGAGGCAGCAGUAGGGAAUCUUCCGCAAUGGGCGAAAGACUGACGGAGCAACGCCGCGUGAGUGAUGAAGGUCUUCGGAUCGUAAAACUCUGUUAUUAGGGAAGAACAAAUGUGUAAGUAACUAUGCACGUCUUGACGGUACCUAAUCAGAAAGCCACGGCUAACUACGUG
rnacentral:rRNA from 1 species